AACUGCCUGUCAAGGAGUUCUGACUUCCAGCCAUAGGCAAACAGAGUCAAAGAAGGGUUUUGUGAUCAAAGAAGGGAAUAACGUGAUCUGAGUUAUGCUUUUAAAAUGUUUCUUGGCUAGCCAUGGGGAAGGCUGGGCCGCAGGAGAGAGCCUGGAUGCGCAGAGACAGGCAAGGGGCUGGCACAGCAGCUCCCACUGGGGGAAGGAGGAAACAGAGCUGGGACACUGAUGUGCUGGUGAACCAGCUUCGAACAUGAAAAUGAGGAGACCCCUCCUAGGAAUGGUGGAAGAGCAGGACAGAAAGAGCCCGGGCUCCUGGCUGACGGGUGGACCGCAGACGCCUGCCUCCCCUGGGCUGCCUUUGUAGCUCCAAGCUAGCCAGUGAAGGAGCUUGUCUGAGCUGCUGCUGUUGGUGAAUUUGAGGGGAGGGUGUCUUUUGUUACAGCAGCUAAGCCUGGAUCCUAAGUACCACUAUACUAAUACUUCUGGUGAGAAUCAAACCUGGGACAAGGCCAACACUUAGGGGAUACAAGUGGGAAAAGUGGAGACAAAAACAAAAGAAGUGAACUCCCAUAGAAUCCAAGGAAGAGAAUAAAGAAACAAGAGGGCAAACAGCAUUAAAUGUGCAGAAAGUCCACAAAAACAAGGAUCAUCGAGAGACUCUGAUUUCGCCAGUAUUUCAACAGAUUGAUAGGGCCCUAAAUUAGGCACGGGACCUUACACCAGGAUGGAGUUCUAUGAUGACUCCCCUCUCAAAGAAGCUUUCUCCCUGUGGUCACCAGCUGGCUGCACUGCACCUCACAUCCACCUGACUGCAAGUGCAGGGGAGAAGAACAAAAGUCUCUUUCUGAGAAGUCCUGACAAUUGCAUCUUGUUGGUUCUUAUUUGGUUGCAUGUCCACCCCUGAACCAAUCGUACUAGUCAGAAGAAAGCAAAGCUGAUUGGUUGUGUGCCUUGGGCAAGUCACUUAACCUCUCUGUGUCUCAGUUUUCUCAUUUAUAAAAUGAGAAUAAUAGUAGUACUUACCUGAUAGGGUUGUUAAUUAAAGCUUAAUUAAUUAUUAAGGCCUAAAUAAAUUAACAUUUAUGAAAUACUUAGAACAGUGCCUGGCUCAAAGUAAGCACCAUCCGACUAUUUAUUGAACAGAUAUUGGGCAGGCCUGAGUCACACGUCUCCCAUUGUCAUCCCCUUAGACCACAGUGGCCAUGUGUGGGAGGAACAGCAGGUGAGGACAAAGGGGAAACGGAUCCCAGGUAGGCAAGAGACCCAUGUUCUCUGGAGGGCUGGAAAGGCAGGAGUGAAGGACUCAUGGUCGAAUGUGGUGGAAGGAUAGACGGGGAGGAGGAGAGGAGCUUGUGAUCAGAAGGGGACACAGGAUUGGAGGCCUUAGCAAUGGUCAGUUCCAUGCUGCAGAGGAUCCGAGAGUGGGUAUGUUUUGGGUUACCGAAGUAGAAUUGGGAGGUAAAGACAAACUAUAAGGCCAGGUUAUCAAAGAUUUCUCUGUGACAAUCUCAGGAGACCAAUAGCAAU